UGAUGAUGAUGGUGGUGAUGGUGAUGAUGAUGGUGAUGAUGAUGAUGAUCAUCAUCAUCAUCAUUAUCGUCGUCGUCGUCAUCAUCAUCAUUAUCA
rnacentral:pre_miRNA from 1 species